UACGUAGGUGGCAAGCGUUGUCCGGAAUUAUUGGGCGUAAAGGGCGCUCAGGGGGUUUCUUAAGUCUGAUGUGAAAGCCCACGGCUCAACCGUGGAGGGUCAUUGGAAACUGGGGAACUUGAGUGCAGAAGAGGAAAGUGGAAUUCCAAGUGUAGCGGUGAAAUGCGUAGAGAUUUGGAGGAACACCAGUGGCGAAGGCGACUUUCUGGUCUGUAACUGACACUGAGGCGCGAAAGCGUGGGGAGCGAACAGG
rnacentral:rRNA from 1 species